GAGGAAAAGAAACUAACAAGGAUUCCCCUAGUAACUGCGAGUGAAGCGGGAAAAGCUCAAAUUUAAAAUCUGGCGGUCUUUGGCUGUCCGAGUUGUAAUCUAGAGAAGUGUUGCCCGCGCUGGACCGUGUACAAGUCUCCUGGAAUGGAGCGUCAUAGAGGGUGAGAAUCCCGUCUCUGACACGGACUCCCAGGGCUUUGUGGUACGCUCUCAAAGAGUCGAGUUGUUUGGGAAUGCAGCUCAAAAUGGGUGGUAAAUUCCAUCUAAAGCUAAAUAUUGGCGAGAGACCGAUAGCGAACAAGUACCGUGAGGGAAAGAUGAAAAGAACUUUGGAAAGAGAGUUAAACAGUACGUGAAAUUGCUGAAAGGGAAACGCUUGAAGUCAGUCACGUUGGCUGGGAAUCAGCCUCGCUCUUUUGCGUGGUGUACUUUCUGGUUGAUGGGUCAGCAUCAAUUUUGACCGCUGGAAAAAGGCUUGAGGAAUGUGGCAGCUUCGGCUGUGUUAUAGCUUCAUGUCACAUACAGCGGUUGGGAUUGAGGAACUCAGCACGCCGCAAGGCCGGGUCUUUGACCACGUUCGUGCUUAGGAUGCUGGCAUAAUGGCUUUAAGCGACCCGUC
rnacentral:rRNA from 1 species